AAUCAAGGUUCAGAAGAGUGGAACCUCCACUAGCUUGAAAUUCAGUGACCGUGUUGGUAGGCAGCCACACAGAAGAUAAAAAGUGAAAGAGCAUACUGGACUGAAACAUACUAGACUGAAAUAAAAUUUGUGCUUAAAUGUGCCAGAGGUAAAGAACAAAAAAGGUCAAGAGGCUAAGGCUUCACU